UCUGGGAGAGACUGCAGUUAUGCGGCGCCGAAGGUGAACAGAGCGAAAAACUCUCAGGCAAAAGGACCAGG
rnacentral:ncRNA from 1 species